AUGUCCUUUCCCAGUAUAAUUCCAUCAGAAAAUAGCUUCUGAAAAGAAAAUCAUUUCCGAGACAUCUUGUUACCCUCUUCUUCAUGCAAAAAUUCAACAAGUUGUGUUGAGCUAACUCUCCUGACCACCUUUUCUGACAACGAGACAAAGCCCGGCAUAUGAAAUUCUGCAGUGAACUUUGCUUGUUGACUAGCCAAUUCAAAGUCCAAUUAGAGAAAAGAAGGGACACAAGUGCAUAAAGCUCAAGUAAAAUAGCCCCAAUAAAUAAACAAUAUGUUAUAGAAAUGUCAACCCCUGAGUACUCAUGCUCAUGAACAUUAAGGAAGACAACACAUGAAGCUAGAGCAGACACUGUGGAUAGAACACUAAUGAAUCGGAAAAUGAGACCCGGUAGAGUGUAAAUUGUAGUUGCUUUUGUGUAAAGCAAGUCAUACAGAAAACCCAACUGAACCUCAACCAAUUUAAAAGCAUAAUUACUCUGUUUCUCCUCAUCCUCCUCGUCCUCCACAUGUUCCUUUUUCACCAUCAAUUUGUAGAAAAUCGUGUUGUGGCAAAGCCUCCUCCUUAUCGUCAACGUAGCCUGUGUCUUGAAGAUCAGACCUCUUUUCAAGAUUCAAUUGCCAAUGCAGAGAAACUACACCCUCUAAUGAUUUUGUCCGAGUCUUCCGACUCAGCUCCAACAAAUCUUACCAGCCUUCUAUGUCGUAUGAAGAGGAUCAGGGCGUUGGAUUUGAGCUCUUGCGCAAUAAAAGGGCUUCCAUUGAAAGAAGCUGAAUUGCUACAUCUAAGGUUCAUUAGUCAAGUAUUGGAUGGAAGAAAUGGAGAGAGAAGCAUGCAAAAGGGAGAAUUCAUGAAGAAAUGAGCUUUUGGAGAAUUGAGGGCCACGCGCACGCGUCAUGCACGUGUACGCGUGCAUUAGAGAUUCUUCAAGCUACGCGUACGCGUCACCCACGCGUACGCGUGAGUAGGGGUUUUUGCCAUCGACGCGCACGCGUGACAUUCGGCACGUGACCCACUUAAAGUGAAAUCACUGGGGCGAUUUCUGAGCUGCCCAGGCCCAAAUCCAACUUGUUUCUGAGGGUAUUUGAUGCAGAAUUGAAGAUUGAGCAAAGGGGAAGCACUUAGUUAGUCAUGAUGAGCCUUUAGUUAGUUUCUAGAGAGAGAAGCUCCCUCUUCUCUCUAGAAUUAGGUUAGGAUUAGGGUAAUUUCUCUUAGAUCUAGAUUCAAUUUCUUGAUUUCAUCUUAUUUCCUCUACAAUUUCUUGUUCCUACACCUUCAUUCUCUUAGUUGUGAUGUUAAUUUUACUUUUAUGCCUCUUUUAUGUUUAUGAACUCUUGUUGGAUUUGGAUUUGGAUUUGGUUUCCUUUAAUGCAAUUGAGGUUUCUUUUAUGCUCU